GCCGAUGUAGCUCAGUUGGUAGAGUUCUUUCUUGGUAAGAAAGAGGUCACGGGUUCAAAUCCCGUCAUUGGCUCUA
rnacentral:tRNA from 1 species